UAAAAUAAUGAAGUGUUAAUAUUCAAAGUCAACUCGUGACUAUUCAAAGCUCAAAAUCUUAUUUUUGUGAGAAGUGUUGGUGCACAGCUUGGAAACAACACACACUUUGGGAACAGAGAUCUGGGUUUGAAUCCCACCUCUACUGUAUACUAGAUAUUUGACCUGAUGGAUGACACACUACUUUUCUAAACAUCAAUGUCCUCAACUGUGAAAUGGAUUUAGAACACUUUUCUCACAGAGUUGUAUUUACUAAGCUAAUGUCUAUAUAGCUUUCCCUCUACACAUGCUACAUAGGAAACAUUUUGAACUAAUAGCCAUUUUUAUUGGGAUUCAUACUAUUUCCAUGAAUCAGUUCAUAUCAUGCAUUCUCUCAUAAGCCUUUCUUGACUACCUUUAGCUCAACUCCCACAAACUUAUCUUAUCCAGGGAAGAAGCAACAGCUGAGGAAACAGGAUCUCAAAAUACAGAAAAGGUCUCAAAAUAUUAGUAUCUGGAAAAUUAGUCAAAAUCUCUGGGGGAGGCCUUGGAAGUCCAUUGGAAUCAGAAGUUUUAAAACAAUUUAUGGGGCAAGAAAGGAUUUCUCUCACAUUUGCGUUAAAAUUAUUUCUUUAAAAAGCACUUUGAUGUAAACAUUUGCAAAAUGGUUUUUGAAAAACCUGCUGCUUUUCAGAAAUCCAGCUACUGAGUCAAUCAAGUGAAAGUGCAGAUACUAAAUUUACUGACUUGUUAUUAGGCACAUCUGAGUUCGUGUCCCAGUUCUUCCGCUUAUGAGCUGGAAGCUUGGAUAAUUUGCUUGACAGCUUCAUCAUUCAGUUUCCUCAUCUGUAAAACUUGACUUUAAGAGAAAGAACUAUCUCUAAUGGGGAAAAAAUAUAUAUUUUAAGGACCAGCCGUCAAAGGUGGGCCUCAGGAGGCUUUGCAGAUAGGCCAUGACCAAAGUCAAAAAGGAGGCAAUCUAUGCUCCACCCAAGAGAGAAAAGGGAAUUGGAGGCUGCCAGGAUGAUGGAGAAGGGAAGGAAUGGAGAACCCCUUUGUAUUUAUGUUUUUAUAAGGCCCUCACAGACUGGGUCUUGAUCAGCCUCAGUUAAGUUGUUUCCCUCGCCAAGGCUGAUAUCAUUUUUCCUGACUAGACCUUCACCCAACAGCAGCAGGUGACUGAUAGCAAAGUUAGUUUACUAAGUUGGUUAGUAAUUGCAAAAUACAUGUGCUACUUCUUGAUUCAGGUGGCCUCACUGGAUUAUUCUUCAAUCAUGAUUCCACCUUGAUGUCAGCGAAGGACCUGGGAAACAUACACAUCUACAGAACAUAUUUCAGGUCCUCACCCGUUUCACCUCUUGGCUCGAAUGGCUCCUUCUCUGAGAGGCCUUCACCAACCACAAAAUAGAGGCCUCCACCUCACACCACUUCCUAGUCCUUUAGUCUGUUUUAUCUUUAUUCACAGCACUUAGCAUUUCCUGAUAGUUUAUAAUAUAUUUAUUUGUUUAUCCGUAUGACCCUUUGCAAUGUACGUUUCAUAGGAACAGGGACUUUGUUUAGUUUUCAGUGUACCCAGUGGUGUGCUGGUACAUUUAGCAACCAACUCUCUAGAAAAGAGAGAAAAAAAGCCAUGACUGGUUUCCAUGGUGUAAAGACUCCAACUAUGCCCAAUUUCAAGCCACGAAUAUGAUGUCACAAAAUGCAGGCUUGGAAAGAGAUGCAGAAAUUCACCCUUGCAAGAUGGUGCAAGCCAGCUCUAGAAAACUUCCGGCUUCUAGGACAGUGCCUUCCUUACGGUAGGUACUGAGAAAUUGAGCAAUUCACAAUAGAAUGGAUAUGGCAGCAGCUUCAAAAUUUACAAAAUAGUUGAUUAUGAUCACAUGCUACACCCUCGACUUGCUGAUGGGGCAGCGUGGAUUCAACCAGGAAUGUCCUCCUUCCUGAAUGGAUGAUGAUGGGGCAAACACAGCGUUCCAGUCACUAGACAUGUACCUCCUAUGCAGGUGGGCACACAAGACAGCUGACUAAGGGAAGAAAUGCAUGAGAAAUUUGCAAAGAGGGAAAGCCAAGAGCACCUGUAGUGUUCUGGAGGUAGCUGCACACUGACAUCCCUUCACACCCAGUGGCCUCUUGUGAAAGAGAAGGCAAUGCAAUGCCGUCGGAGACAAAGCCCAGCUGAAGAGAGGCAGUGCACUUGCUGAUGGAUACUAAAUGAAAAGCAGGCAGAAAUCAGCAAUGCAUCCAGCUUCUGUUGAGGGAGAUUCAGUGGAAUGAUUUUUAUAUUUUCAUGAAGAAAUUACAGUUGAAUAUUAAAACCUGGUAUUUCAGUUUAUCUGGUCUGACUCCCAUCUAACUAACCAACAUAGCCAUGGAUUUUGUAAAACUCACUUAGCAAAUCAUCUUAAUUGGUACCAAAAAAGUGAUGGCUAUGGAAAUAUUGGCAUUUCUAUGUGCAUAACUGAUGUUUUUAUGAGGAUAAGAGGGAGAGAAGAAUCACAUUUCAAAGAAGCUUCUACUGAAAUAAACUAACCAGAAGAACUAAUUGUGGCAUACUUAACAGCUUUGAGCUUUAUGUGUACACUACCUAUGUUUCCUGUUCAGCAAGUGAAUGUCCCCAGGCCGGUAGGGGCAAUGUGAAGAUGAAUCUUAUAUCUCCAAUUUCUCGAAGAACAUUUAUUCAUCUUCCUGGAAUUCACUCAUUGCCAGUUCUUUUAGAAAUACUGACACAGUUAAUAGUGUCUAAUGUCGUGGAUGACUGCCUUCCACCGAUGUCGUGACUUCCCACCCAAGAACCAAUGACUUCUUUCUCUGUGAUUCAGCUCUCCACUGACCCUCAUGGGCAAGAGUGGGGUUUCAGCAAUUAUUCUUUCAACCUCUAUUGAUUAAUCACACGAUAUAAGCCAGACACAGUUCUGGGCAGCAGGAUACAAUAGUGAACAAGACAACCCCAAAUCCCUGCUCUUGUGGAACUGACAUUUUCUCAUGGGGUGUGGGGGUUGGGGAAGAAUGAGAGAUGUUAAAUGCAAAACCAAAAUAAAAGAAAUUUUAAGAUCAUGUGAUAGGGAGUGGCUGGCUGGUCAGGGAUAGCCUCUCCAGGACUGGGACAUUCAUGGGAGUUGACAUGUGAAUUAUGAGAAGAAGCCGACAAUGCCAAGAUCACAUGGCAACACGUUUCAUGCAAAAGAAACAGCCAGCAUGAAGCCUGUGAGCUGGGAACAAGACCGGCUCAGGUCAAGGGACAGACAAAAAGGCCAACAAGGCUGAAAAAGAAUAAGGAAGAGGAGAGGGGUGUGAGGUUCAGCAGGAAAGAUCUGAAGGACUGGGUCAGACAGGGUUCUUCAGGACAUGGAAAAGAAUUUGAAUUUUUUAAAUAAAUGCAAUGAGAAGACA